AUACGUAGGGGCCAAACGUUGUCCGGAUUUAUUGGGCGUAAAGGGCUCGUAGGCGGUUCAACAAGUCGGUCGUGAAAGCCCGGGGCUCAACCCCGGGACGCCGGUCGAAACUGUUGUGACUAGGGUCCGGUAGAGGUGAGUGGAAUUCUCGGUGUAGCGGUGAAAUGCGCAGAUAUCGAGAGGAACACCAUUAGCGAAGGCGGCUCACUGGGCCGGUACCGACGCUGAGGAGCGAAAGCGUGGGGAGCAAACAGGAUUAGAAACCCCGGUAGUCC
rnacentral:rRNA from 1 species